CUCAGCCUCCCAGGUUGCUGGGAUUACAGGCAUGAGCCACUGCACCUGGCCCAACACUUUUUUUUCUGGAACUUCAGUUAUAUGUGUGUUAGACUACUUGACAUCACCCCACAGGUCACUAAGUCUUUGUCCAUUCAUUUUAGUCCUUUUUUCCCCUGCUCUGUGCUUCAGUCUGAAUCAUUUCAGUUGCUUUCUUUCAAAUUCACUCUUUUAUUCAGUAGUGUCCAUUUGUUAUUAAGCCAAUCCAUUUUUCAUUUCAAAAUUUUUAUAUCUAGAACUCUGGCUUUUAAAAAUAUAUUCAUUUUCUCAUUAUGUUCCAUGUUUUGCCAUAAAUCUGGACAUAUUUCCAACAGCUGUUUUAAAUUCCUUGUCUGCUAAUUAUAUCAUUGUUGGAUAUGUUUCUUUUUACUGAUUUUUCUACUUUUUAUGAAUCAUAUUCUCUGGCUUCUUGAGAAUGUCUAGUAACUUUGAUUGGAUGCUAGAUAUAUUAUCCUCUUGAGUGUCUGGAUUUUGUGGCUUCCCUUAAAGAGUGUUGAGUUUGCUUUAGCUGGCAGCUAAACUGCUUGCAGAUCAACUUGAUCCUUUCAAGGCUAGAGUGGCCAUUAUUUUAGGACUAUUUUAGGCCUGCUACUUAAGUGUGACCCUUCUGGAAUCCUUAUUGAAUACCUCAGGUGUUUAGUGAAGUCUCUUUACUCUGGCUGGCUGGAAUUCAAAUGUCUCUUGGCACUGUGUUCAUUCUGGGAACUGUCCAGUUUACAGAUACCUGGUUAUUUCCUCCCCAUCUGGAGUUUCAUCCUACACAAAUACAACUAAGUUUUUAGCAAGAUUCUAGGGGAACCCUUUCUGAAGAAAUUUCUGGAGCUCUUUCUCUAUUUAAAUUUCUUCUUGCCAGUAUUUUGGCUUUGACACUCCAAUCUCUGACUCAGCAAACUGAUGAGCUUGGCUUGGCUCCCACUCCAGAUGCUGUGGCGCAGACUGUGCAUCCAGGCACAAGCCUGGGUACUCACAAGGCUUAUCUUAUUUGUUUCCCUUUUUCCAGGGAUCUUAGUCCUGCGCUAAUUGUUGCAAUGUCUAAAUGCAGGUGUUGGCUCUCUGGUCCUCCCGUUCGACAGACAGCCGCAUCUUCUCACGCAGCGCCAACACCAUCUCCGAGACACCAUGGUGAAAGUGAAGGCCAGAAUAAACAGCUUUGGCUGUGUUGGGCCCCUGGUCACCAGGGUUGCUUUUAACUCUGGCAAAGUGGAUAUUGUCACCAUCAACAACCCCUUCAUUGACCUCAACUACAUGAUCUACAUGUUCCAGUAUGACUCCAUCCACGGCAAGUUCCAUGGCACGGUCAAGGCGGAGAACGGGAAGCUUGUCAUCAAUGGCCAGCCCAUAACUAUCUUCCAGGAGCGAGAUACCACCAAAAUCAAAUGGAGUGAAGCGGGUGCUGAUUACGUUGUGGAGGCCACUGGUCUCUUCACUACCCUGGAGAAGGCCAGGGCUCACCUAGAUGGGGGUGCUAAAAGGGUCAUCAUCUCUGCCACCUCUGCUGAUGCCCCCAUGUUUGUGAUGGGGGUGAACCACGACAAGUACCAAAACAACCACACCAUCGUCAGCAAUGCCUCCUGCACCACCAACUGCUUAGCCCCCCUGGCCAAAGUCAUCCAUGACAAUUUUGGCAUCAUGGAGGGACUCAAGACCACAGUCCAUGCUGUCACCGCCACCCAGAAGACCGUUGAUGGCCCCUCUGGGAAGAUGUGGCAUGAUGGUCGUGGGGCUCUCCAGAACAUCAUCCCUGCGUUGACUGGCGCAGCCAAGGCUGUGGGCAAGGUCAUCCGCGAGCUGAAUGGGAAGCUCACUGGCAUGGCCUUCCGCAUGCCCACUGCCAACGUGUCUAUGGUGGACCUGACCUGCUGUCUGGAGAAGCCGGCCAAGUAUGAUGACAUCCAGGUGGUGGUGAAGCAGGCGGCGGAUGGCCCUCUCAAGGGCAUCCUGGACUACACUAAGCACCAGGUUGUCUCCUCCGACUUCAACAGUGACACCCACUCUUCCACCUUUGAUGCUGGGGCUGGCAUCGCCCUCGACGACCACUUUGUAAAGCUCGUUGCCUGGUAUGACAAUGAAUUUGGCUAUAGCAACAGGGUGGUGGACCUCAUGGUCCACAUGGCCACCAAGGAGUAAGAGUCCUGGACCAUCAGCCCCAGCCAGAGCACCAAGGAAGAGAGGGGCCUCAGCCGCUGGGGUGUCCCUGCCUCCUCAGUCCCCACCUCACUGAGAAUCUCCCCUCCUCACAACGCAGUUUCCAUGCCAGAGUCCCUGAAGAAUGGGAGGGGCCUAGGAAGCCCCACCUUGUUGCGUAUCAUCAAUAAAGUUCACUGUACCAGGCCAAAAAAAUAAACUAAAAUAAAUGCAGGUGUUUUAAUCAUUUUUCACAGAUCUACAAAAAGUAAUUCUAUGCUUCCUAUGGAACCAGAGAAGACCCGAUAUAGCAAAAACAGUCUUAAACAAAACGAACAAAUUGGGAGGCAUCAGUUUACUAGACUUCAAGCUACACUACAAGGCUGUACUAACUAAAACA